rnacentral:rRNA from 1 species
CCUGCCUUAUACAGGGGGAUAACAGUCAGAAAUGGCUGCUAAUACCGCAUAAGCGCACAGAGCUGCAUGGCUCAGUGUGAAAAACUCCGGUGGUAUAAGAUGGACCCGCGUUGGAUUAGCUUGUUGAUGGGGUAACGGCCCACCAAGGCGACGAUCCAUAGCCGGCCUGAGAGGGUGAACGGCCACAUUGGGACUGAGACACGGCCCAGACUCCUACGGGAGGCAGCAGUGGGGAAUAUUGCACAAUGGGGGAAACCCUGAUGCAGCGACGCCGCGUGAAGGAAGAAGUAUCUCGGUAUGUAAACUUCUAUCAGCAGGGAAGAUAGUGACGGUACCUGACUAAGAAGCCCCGGCUAACUACGUGCCAGCAGCCGCGGUAAUACGUAGGGGGCAAGCGUUAUCCGGAUUUACUGGGUGUAAAGGGAGCGUAGACGGUGUGGCAAGUCUGAUGUGAAAGGCAUGGGCUCAACCUGUGGACUGCAUUGGAAACUGUCAUACUUGAGUGCCGGAGGGGUAAGCGGAAUUCCCAGUGUAGCGGUGAAAUGCGUAGAUAUUAGGAGGACACCAGUGGCGAAGGCGGCUUACUGGACGGUAACUGACGUUGAGG